ensembl:lncRNA
AGACUGCAGCCUUACUGCUGUGAAUGAUGUAUUGGUCUAUCGGGUGGAGAAGGCUGUGAUUUAGAGCUAAUACCUUGAGAUAAACCUCUGAUUCCUGCUGUUGUCAUGUAGAUGUACACAGAGACGCAUUAACAUAUAAAAGUACUUACACAGAGACGCACUAACAUAUAAAAGUUAUUUGAGGAAAUUGCACUUCUGAGUUUGUACCCUAUGGUUGAAUGCACUUAUUGUAAGUCGCUUUGGAUAAAAGCGUCAGCUAAAUGAAAUGUAAUGUAAUGUAAAAAGUACUUACACAGAGACGCACUAACAUAUUGGUAUGCACAGAGACUAGCUAAACAUAAAAAGCAAAUACAGAAAUACAGUUUAACAACCACAAAUAUAUAAUGUAGAUUUACACAUCCAUACAAACAUGAAAUAAUUAAAAUGUGCAUCAAAUUAAAAUAAUUGGAUCUAUGAAUCUUGUCUCACAUCCUGAUGAUCCUCCUCACGUCUCUUCUCCUUGUCUGCAGACCAACGGGACGCCAUCAGGACGCCACGUCAACGGGACGCCAUCAGGACGUCACAUCAACCCCUCAGGAGCAAAUCCAGAUCUACGCAUGACACCCCCCCCCCCCCACACACACACACACACACACACACACACACACACACACACAGAUGUACACACAGACACACUAUCAUUUGGUUCUAAACAAUGACACACACUAAUAUUUAGAUGUACACAAAGACACAAUAACCAUUAGAUGUACACACAGACACACUAACAAUGAGAUCUACACACAGACACACUAUCAUUUGGUUCUAAACAAUGACACACACUAAUAUUUAGAUGUACACAAAGACAAUAACAAUUAGAUGUACACACAGACACACUAACAAUUAGAUGUACACACAGACACACUAACAUUUGGUUCUAAACACAGACACACACUAAUAUUUAGAUGUACUCAAAGACAACAAUUAGAUGUACACACAGACACACUAACAAUUAGAUCCACACACAGACACACUAACAAUUAGAUGUACACACAGACACACUAACAUUUGGUUCUAAACAAAGACACACACUAACAUUUAGAUGUACACAAAGACACAUUAAUAUUUAGAUGUACACAAAGACACAUUAAUAUUUAGAUGUACACACAGACACACUAACAAUUAGAUCUACACACAGACACACUAACAAUUAGAUGUACACACGGACACAUCCUGAUGACCAUCCUCACGUCUCUUCUCCUUGUCUGCAGACCAACAGGACGCCAUCAGGACGCCACGCCAUCGGGACGUCAUCAGGAUUCCAUCAGGACGCCAUCAGGACGCCGCGUCAACCCCUCAGGAGCAAAUCCAGAUCUACUCAUGACACACACAGACACACACACAGACACACUAACAUUUAGAUGUACACACAGACACACUAACAAUUAGAUGUACACACAGACACACUCAUUUGGUUUUAAACAAAGACACACACUGAUAUUUAGAUGUACACAAAGACACAAUAACAAUUAGAUCUACACACAGACACACUAACAAUUAGAUGUACACACGGACACACUAACAAUUAGAUCUACACACAUACACACUAACAAUUAGAUGUACACACAGACACAUCCUGAUGACCAUCCUCACGUCUCUUCUCCUUGUCUGCAGACCAACAGGACGCCAUCAGGACGCCACGUCAUCGGGACGCUACGUCAUCGGGACACCAUCAGGACGCUAUCAGGACGCCACGUCAUAGGGACGCCAUAAGGAUUCCAUCAGGACGCCAUCAGGACGCCGCGUCAACCCCUCAGGAGCAAAUCCAGAUCUACUCAUGACACACACACACACCCCCACACACACGCACACACACACAGAUGUACUCAGAGACACACUAACAUUUAGACACGCUGGCAAAUUUAGAUGUACAAUUAGAUGUACACACAGACACACUAACAUUUGGUUCUAAACAAAGACACACACUAACAUUUAGAUGUACACAAAGACACAUUAAUAUUUAGAUGUACACACAGACACACUAACAAUUAGAUGUACACACAGAUACACUAUCAUUUGGUUCUAAACAAAGGCACACACUAACAUUUAGAUGUACACAAAGACACACACUAAUAUUUAGAUGUACACAAAGACAUAUUAAUAUUUAGAUGUACACACAGACACACUAACAUUUAGAUGUACACACAGACACUAACAAUUAGAUGUACACACAGACACACUAACAAUUAGAUCCACACACAGACACACUAACAAUUAGAUGUACACACAGACACACUAACAAUUAGAUCUACACACAGACUCACUAACAAUUAGAUGUACACACGGACACACUAACAAUUAGAUCUACACACAGACACACUAACAAUUAUAUGUACACACAGACACAUCCUGAUGAUCCUCCUCACGUCUCUUCUCCUUGUCUGCAGACCAACAGGACGCCAUCGGGACGCCAUCAGGACACCACGUCAUCGGGACGCCACGUCAUCGGGACGCCAUCAGGACGCCGCGUCAACCCCUCAGGAGCAAUUCCAGAUCUACUCAUGACACACACACACACAGAUGUACUCACAGACACGUUAACAUUAGGUUCUAAACAAAGACACACACUAACAUUUAGAUGUACACAAAGACACAUUAAUAUUUAGAUGUACACACAGACACUUUAACAAUUAGAUCUACACACAGACACACUAACAAUUAGAUGUACACACAGACACACUAACAUAUGGUUCUAAACAAAGACACACACUAACAUUUAGAUGUACACAAAGACACAUUAAUAUUUAGAUGUACACACAGACACACUAACAAUUAGAUGUACACACAGACACACUAACAUUUGGUUCUAAACAAAGACACACACUAAUAUUUAGAUGUACACAAAGACACAAUAACAAUUAGAUGUACACACAGACACAUCCUGAUUAUCCUCCUCAUGUCUCUUCUUCUUGUCUGCAGACCAACAGGACUUCAUCAGGACGCCACGCCAUCGGGACGCCAUCAGGACACCACGUCAUCGGGACGCCAUCAGGAUGCCACGUCAUCGGGACGCCCUCAGGACAAAUCUGAAUCGGGACGCCAUCAGGACGCCGCGUCAACCCCUCAGGAGCAAAUCCAGAUCUACUCAUGACACACACACACACACAGAUGAACUCAGACACACUAUCAUUUGGUUCUAAACAAUGACACACACUAAUAUUUAGAUGUACACAAAGACACAAUAACAAUUAGAUGUACACACAGACACACUAACAGUUAGAUCUACACACAGACACACUAACAAUUAGAUGUACACACAGACACACUAACAUUUGGUUCUAAACAAAGACACACUAACAUUUAGAUGUACACAAAGACACAUUAAUAUUUAGAUGUACACACAGACGCACUAACAAUUAGAUGUACACACACACACUAACAUUUGGUUCUAAACAAAGACACACACUAACAUUUAGAUGUACACAAAGACACAAUAACAAUUUGAUUUACACACAGACACACUAACAAUUAGAUGUACACACAGAGACAUCCUGAUGAUCUUCCUCAUGUCUCUUCUCCUUGUCUGCAGACCAACAGGACGCCAUCAGGACGCCACGCCAUCGGGACGCCAUCAGGACACCACAUCAUCGGGACACCAUCAGGACACCACGUCAUCGGGACGCCAUCAGGACGCCUAACAAUUAGAUGUACACACAGACACACUAACAAUUAGAUGUACACACAGACACACUAUCAUUUGGUUCUAAACAAUGACACACACUAAUAUUUAGAUGUACACACAGACACACUAACAGAUAGAUCUACACACAGACACACUAACAAUUAGAUGUACACACAGACACACUAUCAUUUGGUUCUAAACAAUGACACACACUAAUAUUUAGAUGUACACAAAGACACAAUAACAAUUAGAUGUACACACAGACACAUUAGUAUUCAGAAGUACACAAAAACACAAACAUCUGGUUCUGCACAAAGACACAUUAAUAUUUAAAUGUACACACAGACACACUAACAUUUAGAUGUACACACAGACACACUAACAAUUAGAUGUACACACAGACACACUAACAACAUUAACAUGUUAAUAACUUUUCUUCUUUUCUCUCUUCUCAGGAACUGCUUCAGAUGUUUUCCCAAUGAUUGUGUUAUUAUUAUUGUUAAAUAUGUCGUCUGUUUAUUAUUUUAACAAUGAAAAUACAUUUUAAUAAAAAUAAAACCAAAUGAAUCCGUCUUGUUUUCUUCAGACCAAAGAGAAUCA